CAGCCGCCACGGUAAUACAGAGGGUGCGAGCGUUAAUCGGAUUUACUGGGCGUAAAGCGUGCGUAGGCGGCUUUUUAAGUCGGAUGUGAAAUCCCUGAGCUUAACUUAGGAAUUGCAUUCGAUACUGGGAAGCUAGAGUAUGGGAGAGGAUGGUAGAAUUCCAGGUGUAGCGGUGAAAUGCGUAGAGAUCUGGAGGAAUACCGAUGGCGAAGGCAGCCAUCUGGCCUAACACUGACGCUGAGGUACGAAAGCAUGGGGAGCAAACAGGAUUAGAUACCCGAGUAGUCCCUGUCUCUUAUAC
rnacentral:rRNA from 1 species